rnacentral:lncRNA from 1 species
CCGGAGUUUGGUUUUGUACUGAGUGUGGGAGGCUGACAGAAAAGCCAUAUCCAAGUAAAGGGACUGCAUUCAGGGAAGCCAAGGGCUGCUCAACCCCAGGAGGGACCCAGGUGUCACCACUGAAGCCUCAGUGGUGGGGAGCCAAGCUUGAUCUCCAGCCCCAGGCUCUGCACAGCAAGAGGUCUACCAGCACCAAGCAGUGGCAAAUCAGACUCAGUGGCACAAACAGGGUCUAGAACAAAUGUCUGGCUGUCCAUGAACUGCUUGGAGGAAAAGGCAGCAGCAGGAUAAGGUUAUUAAUGUGGGUUGGAUCCUGCCUUCAGGGCCACAGUUGGCUGAGGCACAGCCAGAGAACACAGCCAGCAUUGUACAUCCUUCUGUCCAUAACCACCAUGGAGA